rnacentral:lncRNA from 1 species
CCCCCCACCCCCUUCUUCCCAGCCUUCCUCCUUCCUCCUCCUCCUCGCCUCACCGUCACUCUCAAACAUCCCCCCCCCCCCCCCCCCCAGCCGCCCCAAACUCCUUCCUCAGGACCGUGGGAUGCUGGGGAGCUCUGGUGAGAGUUGCUGGUCUCCAUUUCCAAGCUGGGAGCCGCCGGCAGCGGAGGCUGCCCCCGAUUUUAGUCCAAAGGAGCUGCUUUUGGGAACUGGGUGUCCGGCUCCGGUGUUUGCCUGCUGAGGAAGAGGCUCACUCUGUUCUCCAGUCUUGUUACGUGGAUUUCUCUCUCUCCGAGUAA